rnacentral:rRNA from 1 species
GACGAACGCUGGCUGUGUGCCUAAUACAUGCAAGUAGAACGCAGUUGCGAACGGGUGAGUAACGCGUAGGUAACUGCUUCAUCGCGCGGGUUAACUAUUGGAAACGCUAGCUAAUACCUCAUACUUUGAGAUUCACCUGCGUUGUAGUAGCUAGUUGGUGAGGUAAAGGCUCACCAAGGCGACGAGACAUAGCCGACCUGGGAGGGUGGACGGACAAACUGGGACUGAGAACAGGGCCAGAAUCCUGAGGGAGGGAGCAAGAGGGGAAUUUUGGGAAUGGAAGGAAGUCUAACCGGGCAAAGCCGGGUGAGUGAAAAAAGUUUUCGGGUCGUAAAGCUGUGUUGGUAGAGGAGCGGUAACUAACCAGAAAGGGACGGCUAACUACGUGCCAGCAGCCGCGGUAAUUC